rnacentral:misc_RNA from 1 species
AUGCAGUGUUUGAAGGAUUAAAAAAUCACUAAAUCUUUCUUUUUGGUUCAGUUAAUCUUCUCAAUGAUUAAAUAGUUAAACUUCUCUUCUUCUUCUUGCUAAAGCCACCAGCUUUACCCUUUGCGUUGCUCUGCUGCUCAUAUCAAUUGUUCUAUCUUAAUCUGUAUUAUUAUGGUGUUACUUGUCUGAGAAUUAGUUUAAAGAAAAGGGGUUGUGCAGUUUUUCUCACAAAGAAAAAAAAUGCAAAGAGUUAGGGUAUCAUCACAUCAAGCUCCAGUGCAAAGGCUAGGAGAUUCACAAAUGACAUUGUCUCCAAAGUUUAGGUUAGCUGCAAAGCAAUCUGAUUUACUUGAUCCUUCAUUUGAUUUAGAAAUGUGGCGAAAGGGAGAACCCUUAAUUCCUGGACUUCCAGAUGAUGUUGCUCUCAACUGUCUCCUUAGGAUACCUGUCAAUGACCAUA